AUUGAACGCUGGCGGAAUGCUUUACACAUGCAAGUCGAACGGCAGCACGGGGGCAGCCCUGGUGGCGAGUGGCGAACGGGGGAGCAAUACAUCCGAACGUGCCCGCUCGCGGGGCAGAACGUAGCGGAAGCAACGCUAAUACCGCAUCCGAUCUGAGGAGGAAAGCGGGGCACCGUCCGGCCUCGCGCGGUCGGAGGUGCCGAUGUCGGAUUGGGUAGUUGGUGGGGUAAAGGCCUACCAAGCCGACGAUCUGUAGCUGGUCUGAGAGGACGACCAGCCACACUGGGACUGAGCCACCGCCCAGCCUCCUACGGGCGGCACCAGUGGGGAAUUUUGGACACUGGGCGCACGCCUGAUCCAGCCCUACCGCGUGCUGGACGAAGGCCUUCGGGUUGUAAACUGCUUUUGUACGGAACGAAAAGGCUCUGGCUGAUACCUGGGGCUCAUGACGGUACCGUACGAAUAAGCACCGGCUUACUACGUG
rnacentral:rRNA from 1 species